GUAAGAUUUUGUUAUUUUUAUUUAAAUAAUAUAAUAUAUGACCACACAUAUGUGGGUACAAUUGUGAUAGAUCAAAAUCUACAUGAAUCACCAAAAAGGUGGAGGGAAGAAAGGGAAAGUCUGAACAAAGAUUUAAAAAAAAAAGUUAAAAAUUUUAAAAUUCAUGUCAUAAAUAACAGCUAAAGAGAGAAAAAAAAAGUUGAUUCACCUAACUACUUUUGACGAUGGCAUUCAGUAAGAAACACACACAGAAAAAACGACUACUACAUGUUACUGGGGUGGGGGGGGGGGGGGGGGGGG